CAUCGCUCAUUAUUUCAUAAGCAUGUCUAGCCUGGACCACAUCAGUGGAGUCCGGCAGACACGUCCAGUUGUGGAGGCGAGUGAUGUAGUUGGCGUGGUUGACUUGGAUCUGGUUCUUCUUGGCCAGCUCAAAGGCCAGCAUGUCCACCGGCAGACACGUCCAGUUGUGGAGGCGAGUGAUGUAGUUGGCGUGGUUGACUUGGAUCUGGUUCUUCUUGGCCAGCUCAAAGGCCAUCAUGUCCACCGGCAGACACGUCCAGUUGUGGAGGCGAGUGAUGUAGUUGGCGUGGUUGACUUGGAUCUGGUUCUUCUUGGCCAGCUCAAAGGCCAUCAUGUCCACCGGCAGACACGUCCAGUUGUGGAGGCGAGUGAUGUAGUUGGCGUGGUUGACUUGGAUCUGGUUCUUCUUGGCCAGCUCAAAGGCCAUCAUGUCCACCGGCAGGUUGAACUUGGUCUUGGACUUGUUGAAGUCCUUCUUGUACAGGGCAUCACUGGCGAUCUUGGCCGAGUUGAGAGCCAGCACGAGCAGAGGGUCGUCCUGGACGCAGCGAGCGCCGAUGUGGUGGCCCACCUGCUUACGGUACCCUGCGUGGUACUUGUACUGGAGAAGUAAUCGUCAAAGUUUCCAUUAUCACGCAAUGUUGAGGGGGUAAAGCAUAAUAAAUGAUAUUCAAAAGGUGGAGUAUUAGAAUAACUACGCAGACACGUACAUCACUAGCUAUAGCUGUGGAGGCUUUGGCAGCUUGGACGGCAAUGGCAUCACCCCGGAGAUUAUGGCCCUUCUUCUUGGACAGCUCAUUGUCCAAUUUAUACAGUUUCU
ensembl:lncRNA